rnacentral:tRNA from 1 species
GUUGCUUUGGCCGAGUGGUUAAGGCGUGUGCCUGCUAUGUACAUGGGACUUCCCCACGAGAGUUCGAAUCUCUCAGGCAACG